rnacentral:rRNA from 1 species
UACGAAGGACCCGAGCGUUAUCCGGAUUUAUUGGGUUAAAGGUGCGUAGGCGGAUUAAUAAGUCAGUGGUGAAAGCCUGAUGCUUAACAUCAGAAUUGCCAUUGAUACUGUUAGUCUUGAGUACGGUUGAGGUGGGCGGAAUGUGUCAUGUAGCGGUGAAUGCUUAGAUAUGACACAGAACACCAAUUGCGAAGGCAGCUCGCUAAACCGUAACUGACGCUGAGGCACGAAAGCGUGGGGAGCAAACAGG